GUGCUGAUGAGCUGUGAUGUAACUGAUCUGGUAUUGCUGCUCCCAGGAGCAGCUCUGACCAGGACAUGACUCAGUUAAUCUUCUCUCUGAGCCG